rnacentral:lncRNA from 1 species
GGCAAAUUGGCCAGGUUCUGGGAGCUGUCUCCGCUCUGGGUCCAGGUGUUUGUGAACUAGGGUGGCCUUUUUCCCUGCCAGGCAGGUGGUGGCAGAGCACUCCCUGGAGCAGGGGGUGAGGUGAGACCCCUAGGAACGGGAGAGGCUGCUGGGAGAAAGAGGAGGGUAUAGGGUAGGAAACCCUAGGGGGAUAAGGUGACGGGAGAGAGAGAAGGUCGCAGUCUGGGAUGGGUUUUGGGGAGAAGGAAGAGGGGAGAGAGAGAGAGAGAGAGAGAGAGAGAGAGAGAGAGAGAGAGAGAGAGAGAGAGAGAGAGAGAGAGAGAGAGAGAGAGAGAGAGAGAGAGAGAGAGAUACAUAGAGAGAGACAGAGACAGAGACAGAGAGACAGAAACAGAGAGGAAUCUCAGGGAUUAGGAGAUAGAACAGAGUGUAGAGCAUGGGGUGGAAUCCCUGGGCUGGGGACGAAGAUGUUUCUGGGAGAGAGCAGGUCGCAGAGUGGCAUUCCCUUCGGUGGUAGUAAAAGGCUCAUUCUGAGAGCGGCUCUGAAGCUUUCUCUCUGUCCUGCAGGAUUCUUGCCUCCGACAGUGCCUCGCCUGGAGCCAGCGGCAGCCAGAGGGGGCUGGGGCCCUAGGGUUCCCGAAGCCCGGGAAAGCGAUGGAGAAGAGAAAGAAGCAGUAGCCGUCGUGAUGGUCACGGAGCUGAGCCCGACUAGGGCCGGGCAGGACAAGGGCUCGGCUGGCCCAGGGAGCCCCGGAAAGCAUCAGGAGAAAGCGCUGCGCGCAAGAGAGAAAAGCGCUGCACUUGCUACACUUACAAGGACAAAGAGUGCGUGUACUAUUGUCACCUGGACAUCAUCUGGAUCAAUACGCCAGAACAGACUGUACCAUAUGGGCUCUCCAAUUACAGAGGCAGCUUCCGGGGCAAGAGAUCUGCAGAUCCUAUCUGCAGGACUUUGCCACCAUUUGAAGGGCCACGGAACCGAUGUUCUUGCACGGAACAAGAUGAUGAUGCCUGCAUUCGUUUUUGCACCGGAACUGAGGACAACAGAAGGUAAAUGGCCCUCUAGGAAGUUUUAAUCAUUCAAUGAAAAGUGAUUCUUUGGUAGCAGCC